rfam:Trichoderma atroviride IMI 206040 TRIATcontig_28, whole genome shotgun sequence.
CAUCCGCUUGCUGUGGGCAAAUAAAAUGGAUAUGAGUAUCAAUGCCACCGGCCGUGAUAAUUUUCCCUUCACCAGCAAUAACAUCAGUGCAGCUACCAACGACCAUUCCAGGCGUGACGCCAUCCAUGACAUCGGGGUUGCCUGCCUUGCCAAUUCCUACAAUGUGGCCAUUCUUGACUCCAAUGUCGGCCUUGUAGAUGCCUGUCCAGUCAACCACAAGCGCGUUGGUCACCACCAAGUCCAAGGAAUCAGCGUCUAGCCGUCCAGAUGCUUGUCCCAUGCCCUCUCGCAACG